rnacentral:rRNA from 1 species
UAAUACGUAGGGUGCAAGCGUUGUCCGGAAUUAUUGGGCGUAAAGAGCUCGUAGGCGGUUUGUCGCGUCUGCUGUGAAAAUCCGAGGCUCAACCUCGGACCUGCAGUGGGUACGGGCAAACUAGAGUGCGGUAGGGGAGAAGGGAAUUCCUGGUGUAGCGGUGGAAUGCGCAGAUAUCAGGAGGAACACCGAUGGCGAAGGCACUUCUCUGGGCCGUAACUGACGCUGAGGAGCGAAAGCGUGGGGAGCGAACAGGAUUAGAUACCCUGGUAGUCCACGCCGUAAACGGUGGGUGCUAGUUGUGGGCCACAUUCCACGUGGUCCGUGACGCAGCUAACGCAUUAAGCACCCCGCCUGGGGAGUACGGUCGCAAGACUAAAACUCAAAGGAAUUGACGGGGGCCCGCACAAGCGGCGGAGCAUGCGGAUUAAUUCGAUGCAACGCGAAGAACCUUACCAAGGCUUGACAUAUAGAGGAAAAGCGUAGAAAUACGCUCCCCGCAAGGUCUCUAUACAGGU